UUCGCAAUGCCCGAAAGGGUGACGAAGCGACGCCGCGUGGGUGAGGAAGGCCUUCGGGUUGUAAAGCCCUGUCAGGAGUUAAGAAAUGUAAGUGCGCUAAUAUCGCAUUUACUUGACGAAGGCUCCAAAGGAAGCCACGGCUAACUCUGUGCCAGCAGCCGCGGUAAUACAGAGGUGGCAAGCGUUGUUCGGAAUUAUUGGGCGUAAAGAGCACGUAGGUGGGUUUGUAAGUCAGAUGUGAAAGCCUUCUGUUCAACGGAAGAAUUGCAUCUGAAACUGCAAGUCUUGAGUGUAGGAGGGGAGAAUGGAACUUCUGGUGGAGCGGUGAAAUGCGUAGAUAUCAGAAGGAACGCCGGCGGCGAAAGCGAUUCUCUGGCCUAUUACUGACACUCAGUGUGCGAAAGCUAGGGGAGCAAACGGGAUUAGAUACCCCGGUAGUCCUAGCUGUAAACGAUGGGCACUAAGUAGAGGGGCAUU
rnacentral:rRNA from 1 species